rnacentral:rRNA from 1 species
ACAGAGGCGGCAAGCGUUGUUCGGAUUUACUGGGCGUAAAGGGUGCGUAGGCGGUUCUGUGUGUCGGAUGUGAAAUCUCACAGCUCAACUGUGGAAUUGCAUUUGAAACUACAGGGCUGGAGUACAGGAGAGGAGAGCGGAAUUCGUGGUGUAGCGGUGAAAUGCGUGGAUAUCAAGAGGAACACCAGUGGCGAAGGCGGCUCUCUGGACUGAUACUGACGCUGAGGCACGAGAGCUGGGAGAGCAAACAG